GAUGAACGCUGGCGGCGUGCCUAAUACAUGCAAGUCGAGCGAACAGACGAGGAGCUUGCUCCUCUGACGUUAGCGGCGGACGGGUGAGUAACACGUGAAUAACCUACCUAUAAGACUGGGAUAACUUCGGGAAACUGGAGCUAAUACCGGAUAAUAUAUUGAACCGCAUGGUUCAAUAGUGAAAGACGGUUUUGCUGUCACUUAUAGAUGGAUCCGCGCCGCAUUAGCUAGUUGGUAAGGUAACGGCUUACCAAGGCAACGAUGCGUAGCCGACCUGAGAGGGUGAUCGGCCACACUGGAACUGAGACACGGUCCAGACUCCUACGGGAGGCAGCAGUAGGGAAUCUUCCGCAAUGGGCGAAAGCCUGACGGAGCAACGCCGCGUGAGUGAUGAAGGUCUUCGGAUCGUAAAACUCUGUUAUUAGGGAAGAACAAAUGUGUAAGUAACUAUGCACGUCUUGACGGUACCUAAUCAGAAAGCCACGGCUAACUACGU
rnacentral:rRNA from 1 species